AAUGGGAAUGAAAUAUCUAUGCCCUCACCUGUUGUUACAGGGAUUGGGACAAAACAGAAUAAGAGAAAGCCCAGCCCAGCUCCGGAGAGCCCCUCUCCCCAUGAGUCAAGCAUGUGGGUUAAUUAAACUGGCUCCCUGCGGUAUUCAUUCUAUAAGGACAAGAUGAAAGGUGACUGAACGACAAGAACUGCAUGCAGCGGGCUUCAGGACAGUGCUCAAUCCAUGUCAGCUGUGACCCCAUGAAGAUGACCGAUGUCCAACAGACCCCUUUCAUUUGAACUGGAUCAGGUGCCCUCAGACAGCUCCAUCCAGGCCGGACAGACUGAGGACCACUGCUCUGAUCAUCACUACCUAGCCCACAUCAGGAGGACCGUGGGAUCAGGCCACCCCAGGGCCACCCGCAUCCCAUGCAUGCCCCCCAAGAGGGCGUGUUGGGAGGUGGGGGCGCAGCUGAAGCUCCACUUCCUGGGUAAUGAAGGGAAGCAACCUUUAGGCCGGUCCCGAAAGAAGCAUGGGGACAGGAGUCAGUGGGUAACAGAGCAGAGUUUCUGGUGGGAAAGAUGGAAAACCUCUGGAGAUGGAUGGUGGUGAUGGCUGCCUGACAUGUGAACGUACUCAAUGCCGCUGAACUGAACGCUUAGCAACGGUGAAAACGGUCAGUUUUAUGUUAUGUAUAUUUAACCACAAGAAAAAACAAGAAGGAAAAACCACCUUGGGGAAAAAAUUUAAAAAGGAAUUGGGUCUGGGAGGACUUCCAAGGUCAUACUUGGAUUUUUGCUUCCUAAGCCAGGAAACAUGGAACUGCGUUUGAUUUAUUCUGUUCCCAUCUUAUCAGCACUUCCAAAGAAGUGAAAACAGGGAAUUGGAGCUCUCACGGGCACUGAGCAAAGAUUCAAGUGCCCAGAACCUGCUGUGACCUCCCAACUCACUUCCCGUCAGGCCUGCCCCCACCCUGUCCCGGGACUAGGACACAGCGGCCCUCAGGUCACUGACACGAUCAGAGCAUGGGGGCUUCAGCCUGCGCUCAGAGGUCCCGUGGUCUCUCUCCCACUCACGCCAGGUCAGUGGGCAGCCCCCUUGAAAGAGUCUCUCCAAGCUGCGCUCCUGAGAGGCGAAUGCCAUGCGCAUUCGCUGAGCCUGCACAUCCAGGGGCUGUUGGCGAGUGACCCGCGCCCCCCUCCCGCCAAUGCCUGUGAGGCUGGGCUCCUCCUCUGGGCCACAUCCAGCCCAAGGUCAUGAUGUGUGUGUGCCCUACACCAGCUGACCCUGAGUGACGCCCCCCAGGCUCUCACAUAUGCUCUUCCCAGAUGUCCCUCAGGUGCUGCACCCCAGCAGGAGAGAAGGGCGUCUCCCUCAGGUCCAACACGGCAGUGCAGCAGCCACGUGCAUACAAACCUGCCUCUGUUCCUGCCGCUUCCCGACAAUCAGCAGCAGAAUGCACGAAUGGCCGCUGUGGCCUGGGGGAGACAGGGCGGCAGCAGAGGCAAGGUGGGACGGGGAGGCUGAGCAGCCCCAGCACAGCCUCAGGGAACUGUUUUUGAAACAAGUGAACUUGCUUUGGGAACCCGCGUGGGUACUGUCUUUGCUCUCACCAUCUGCGUGACGCACAUCUGCCCCGUGCAGCCCUGGGAACACCGGUUUCCGAAGCCCCCAUGCCCGCAGCCCCAGGAUCUGGUUCUCAGAAGAGGGCUGUCCGAAAUGAGGUGCUAAUCUAGGCGGAGUUUCCCAAGCCUGAUGAACCCGCAAGAAAACCAAGCGAUGAAUAAGUACUCGGUCUUCUUCCUACUGCCCUUUGCAACAACCUGCCAUUUGCGAUAAACAUGACAGAGAACAAGCUAAACAGCGCUAGAGAAAACAGGAAAAAUAAACUCGGGGUCUUUACAUAAAUAUAUGUUCUACCAAAAUCUAAACUUAACCAAUCAACUGGCACAAAUCAAAAGGUCACUCAGAGUUCUCUGCUGCUGCUCACAGAGAAAAUGAUUAUCUCACUGUUGUACCACUCGCUCCUAUACAAUGCAAAGCUUUGAACUGUUUAUAACAUAAUACAACAGAUGCACAAUCGCUCAGGAACAUCGCUGUUCUGCCCUUUGAAGCUGCCUGCAGCCCAAGUACUGCACAGGCAGGAAGUAGAAAUCAGUGCUUUGAUUUGUUUAAAAUAAAUUAAACACAAGUGGCAACCAUAUUUCCUCUUAUUCAGAGGAAGUUACAAAAGGUACAGAAGACCAAAAAUACCAGGUGACUUUGAAACGAAGAGUUAGUCCGUUUAUAAGCAAACCCCCGAAAUACUGGCCCUUAGCAUACAUUCAAAGACCUCGCAUGCACAAAUUUUAAAGAGAUUACUUCUGUUCAAAAUCACUUGGAAAGAACUGUGGGUUUCUUUCAAGUUGAACAACCUCACCGUUUCAAAAGCUGCCCACGGAGGAAAGAACUCAAGUCCAGUGCGAGAGGCAGGGAGGGUGCGAGGCGGCAGCGCAGUGGUGAGUCGGGGAUUCGGGGGCAUCUGCUUCUGAGCAGCAGGGAGGCAGGCAGCCUGGGGUGAGGGCCAGAGGCCAGAGACCAGGGUACUUCCCAUGCACAGUCUUUGCAAGGACGACACAUGGGUCCAUGCUAGGCGUGGGCUGUGGGACAGGACCGGUGUGUGGCCUCGCAGGGUGUCAUGAGAAGCAGGCACAAUGUGCAAACCCUCCAGGCCUCCUGAGGCAUUACCGUAGCUCUCUAUUCUCAUCCUCCUGAGCCAGAGAGCAAAAUGUGGUGUGGACGGGCGUGGGCUCAAAGCCCAGCAUCUCUGCUCAGAGCGUGGCCUCAGUUCACUCAUCUGUAAAAUGGGGACAAUAGUAUCUACUUCAGAGAGUCGCGAGGGUGAAGCGAUUUAAUAUUUAUGAAGCAUUUAGAUUAGCAUUUGGCGCCUAGAAAGUACUCCAAAUGGCGGUGGUUUUUUAAAGGCCACUACUAAGGAAAACUGUGUGGCAUGGCCCGUGGUCCCUUCCAUGCAGACUGGAAGGCGACACCAGACCGAGGUGCAGCAGCUGCUGUCUGACUCGCAUGCACUCAUGUUGUUUCCAUGGUUCUGUCCAUGCUACCUGUUCUCCACUUGUCACCUCUGGGUCACUUACUUCUCCUACACCACCCUGAUGGAAUGGCUGGCUCCAAGGACACGAGUGGGACCCCAGUGAUGCCUUUUCCAAGCUGGUCUUACUUGUGCUUAGGGGCAGCUCCUCUCCCACAUAUGUUCACCAUUAAGUAAACAUCUGUGUGUCCCCGCCUUUGAUCCCUCUCGAGGUCCUGUCACUCUCCCAUGCCAGACUCAGAAGGCCAUCCCUGGCAUUCUCCUCCAUCUUCCCACCGACCCGGGGGAGUGCACACCUCCCCAUGACUUCCACUUCCACCUCUAACGCAAUAACUCCCAAAACUGUGUCUCUGGGGCCCAGAAGCCCUCCCUGCAUUCCAGACGCUCCAUACUUCCGACCACCCUAUAGAUAUCCGCAAGGACUUUCAACCCCCAACAAUCCAGUCUCCACUAAACUGGUUCACACUUUGUUGAAAAUCAAUCGACCACAUUUGUGUGGGGCUAUUUCUGGAUGCUCUUCCAUUCCCCUGAUCUGUGUGUCCAUCCCUCUCCAGUACCACCUGCCCUGGUGACUGCAGCUUCGCAGGAAGUCUUGAAAUCGGACGGCGUGUGUCCUUCGACACAUUCUUCUCCUUCGAAGUUGUCGUGUGUAUUCCAGCACCUUGGCCUUCCCCAGAGCUUCACACUCACUGUGUCGAUCUCUACAAAACAGCCUGCUGGGAUGUUAACCGGACUGAGUUUAAUCUGUACACCAAUUUGGGGAGAACUGACCUCUUAGCAGUUUUGACUAUUCCAAUCCACGAAACAAUACAUGUCUCCAUUUAUGUAGGAAUUCUUUGAUUUCUUUCAUCUGUGUUUCAUAGUUUUCAGCAAACAGUUCUUGUGUGUAUUUUGUAGGAUUUGUGCCUAAGUAUUUCAUGAUUUUUGGUUCUAUUGUAAAUGGAAAUGUUUUUAAUUUCAGUUUCUAAUGGUUCUUUACUAGUAUACAACUAAAUUCACCUGCAGUCCUAGCUUUUGUGUAGAUGCCACUGGAUUUUCUACGUAGAAAAUCACAUCAUCUGCAAAUAAAGAUGGUUUCUCUCUCUCUCUAAUC